rnacentral:tRNA from 1 species
GGUGGUUCAGUGGUAGAGUGCUUGCCUUGCAAGCAUGAGACCCUGGGUUCAAUUCCUCAGCACCA